CUUGGCAACAGCGAGUAAAGUCGUGGCUUGUGUUUCAGAUGCGAGAAAGUGGGCCCUGGUCUAUAAACUGGACGAGGAUGAAGAUGAAAUCUCUGAUUCAGAAUGACCGUCUGUUCAAGAAUUUGCGGUGGUUAUGCUCGUGUUGCUUCCGUGGGAGGACCUCUAAUACUCGAAGUUGCAGACAUGAAUGUGAGAAGCAAUGCAUGUGGGGGCUUUCUGACUGAAGCUCUUCGACCCACCCUUCUUGGAAAGUCUUAAUCUAUACCUGCCAUGUGCCUUUUCUGCUAGGCGGGCAUUUGUCGAAGAGAAAGAUGGAGUAAAAGGAUAUCUCAAGCAAUGCUCCAUACUUGUAUGACAAUCUGGUCAAGAGGGAUGGAGUUACGAAUUGGAGAAAGCGCAGAGACUAGGAGUGUAGGGGGAGCUGCAUCCAAGUAAAUGUAUCACAUCAUUAUGCUGGUGCGUCCUGAUGGCAAGAUUGUUGUCUUGGGCCUUGAAGAUGAUGCAGUUUCACUGCAUGAUGUAGAAGUAAGUUUUCCAUGCUAUUGCUGUAAUGUUACCCUCAUUACUUCUCAACAAGAAAUUCCUCCUGCAAGAAUCCUUUAUCAUCAGAAUGUGUUCUCCUCUGAUCUCCCUUGUGGAAUAUUCUGAAUUGCUCAAAAGCUGCAUGAUGCAAUGCAAACAGCAAGCUUGCUGAAUGAACAUUAAGUUAAGAUGUUUCUGAAAUCCUUAAAGUCUAGCCAACUGGUUUGAUAUAACGGCUGAUGAAUCGGACG